rnacentral:rRNA from 1 species
ACGGAAGGCAGCAGUGGGGGAUAUUGCACAAGGGGCGAAACCCUGAUCCAGCGACGCCGCGUGAGUGAAGAAGUAUUUCGGUAUGUAAAGCUCUAUCGGCAAGGAAGAAAAUGACGGUACUUGACUAAGAAGCCCCGGCUAACUACGUGCCAGCAGCCGCGGUAGUACGUAGGGGGCAAGCGUUAUCCGGAUUUACUGGGUGUAAAGGGAGCGUAGACGGCAAAGCAAGUCUGAAGUGAAAUCCCGGGGCUCAACCCUGGAACUGCUUUGGAAACUGUUUAGCUAGAGUGCAGGAGAGGUAAGUGGAAUUCCUAGUGUAGCGGUGAAAUGCGUAGAUAUUAGGAGGAACACCAGUGGCGAAGGCGGCUUACUGGACUGUAACUGACGUUGAGGCUCGAAAGCGUGGGGAGCAAACAGGAUUAGAUACCCUGGUA